rnacentral:misc_RNA from 1 species
AAAGAAGAUGAGGAUGAAGAUGAAGUGCAAUCAGCUGUAUCAGAGGCCAGUGAUGCAAAACAUAAUCCAGAGUCAGAUAAGUUGCUGACAGAAAGCCAAUUGCACGAUUCUGACAAUAGCAUAGAAACUGCCAAGGAAUCUUCUUCAAAUUUGAGGCUAAGGGUGAAACAAGGUGGUAAAUCUGGCGAGAUAGGAUCAUCAGCAUUUCUUGAUGCAGUGCCUGCAAUGCAUGGUCGCAGCUCGCCGUCAGUUUAUAUUGUGGGAGUUGUGGUAGUUAUCAUCUUGUUAAUAGUUCUUGCUGGAAUUUGGAUAUUCCUGUAACGGCAUAGAAUCCUAACUUGAUAAGGAGAUGGUAGUUUUAUAGACUGCAUUCAAAUCCUUAAGCAUCUGUAACUUGGAGGGAGCAUCAGUGUUUGGAUGACUUUUUUCUGUGAUGUGUAGCUGAUAUUAGUUUAUUUUGUACAAUAUAUUUAAGUGAUGUGUUUAUUAUGUUACAACUAAAAACGGGUAUGACAGGGCCGUGGAAAUGGCCCGGGUCUGGUUUGGGGCCUGAAUGGCUACUUCAUUGUUAGGAUUAACCAGGACAUGACUAAAGGGCAUAUUGGUACUCAGGUUCUGGUUUUAGUUCAUUUUUAUUGCUUAUUUGAUCUGGUUUUAAUUAAAUUUAAUGGUUUUUUUUUAAAAAAAAAACCAUUAAAUUUAAUUAAAAC